GACAGAGGUCCCAAGCGUUAGGCGGAAUCACUGGGCUUAAAGCGUGUGUAGGCGGACUUGUAAGUACCUUGUGAAAUCCCACGGCUCAACCGUGGAACUGCUGGGUAUACUGCGAGUCUUGAGCCACCUAGGGGCGAGCGGAACAAGUGGUGGAGCGGUGAAAUGCGUAGAUAUCACUUGGAACGCCAAUGGUGAAAACAGCUCGCUGGGGGUGUGCUGACGCUGAGACACGAAAGCCAGGGGAGCAAACAGG
rnacentral:rRNA from 1 species